GACAGAGGGUGCGAGCGUUGUUCGGAAUUACUGGGCGUAAAGCGUGCGCAGGCGGUUCGCCAAGUCAGGUGUGAAAUCCCCGGGCUUAACCUGGGAAUUGCGCUUGAAACUAGCGGGCUUGAGUGUGGCAGAGGGGGGUGGAAUUCCACGUGUAGCAGUGAAAUGCGUAGAGAUGUGGAGGAACACCGAUGGCGAAGGCAGCCCCCUGGGUCAACACUGACGCUCGAUGCACGAAAGCGUGGGGAGCAAACAGG
rnacentral:rRNA from 1 species